rnacentral:rRNA from 1 species
GACUACCGGGGUAUCUAAGCCUGUUUGCUACCCACGCUUUCGCGCCUCAGCGUCAGAUAAUGCCCAGUAAGCUGCCUUCGCCGUCGGUAUUCCUCCUGAUAUCUACGCAUUUCACCGCUACACCAGGAAUUCUACUUACCUCUGCAUUCCUCAAGCUCGCCAGUAUGCGAAGCAGUUUCCGGGUUGAGCCCUGGAGAUUUCACUUCACACUUAACGAGCCGCCUACGCGCUCUUUACGCCCAGUAAAUCCGGACAACGCUCGCCCCCUACGUCUUACCGCGGCUGCUGGCACGUAGUUAGCCGGGGCUUAUUCUCACGGUACCGUCCUAAGUCUUUCCGUGAAAAAGGAGUUUACAGACCUAGAUCCUUCGUCCUCCACGCGGCGUCGCUGCAUCAGGGUUUCCCCCAUUGUGCAAGAUUCCCCACUGCAGCCACCCGUAGG